rnacentral:lncRNA from 1 species
CUUAUUGUGAUAAGAAUUUUGAAUGAAUUUUUCGUGUAUCUAUUUAGUGUAUUUGUUAUUCUAUUUAAUAUUCUACUUUAUUUUGUACUUUUGUUAAGAAAUAAUUUUACACUUGGGGGCACCCUUUUGAAUAUGUAUUGAUAUUUCUUUUGAUGUCUCUAUGUGGUUGUGCCAAGGGAAAAUUUGUAAUGUAGAACUUGCUAUAAAUGUAAGGUAUAGAGUGUGGCUUGGAAAGAUGAGUGAAUUUUUGUAAUGUACAACUCACAAACCAUGUAAACUGAAGAUGAGGGUAAAAGAUGGGAGAUUCAGCUUCUUGAAAUUGGAUCAAUAUUGAUAUUUACAAGCAUGAAGAAAUUUCAGUAGCAA